UGCGCUGGGAGAAGCGGGCUUCACAGUGCUCACAGGCGUAGGGCCGCUCCCCAGAGUGCACGCGCCGGUGGCUGACCAGGCGAGACGAGGAGGAGAAGCGGCGCUCACAGUCUGGACACGGAUGAGAGGGAGCCACUCUGCUGGACCCUACAUCUCAGCCGGCCUUGAACUAGCCUCACACGGGGCCGAGUUGCGGCCAGAAUGGAGGAAUCACCACGGCGUGGGACACUUUGGUACCAAAAUGAACAACGGAACAAACAAUACCCUAAGAGAAUAUGGCGGCGACCCUUUAAGACCAUCAUUCACAAGCAUUCUGAGGCUUUCCACUCAUUUCCUCCAUUUGAUCUUAUCAGAUAAGAAACAGUUAAGCAGGUUCAGCCCAGGUUCUUAAAAUUCCUACCCCCUCAUUGGCUAUGGCGGAGACAGACUAGAAGACUUGGCUUCCGAAAGUGCGCGGUGAUUGGACAACUCGCCUCAUCGAAAUAAAGCGCUGAUUGGUGUCUUGGACCAGACUCUAGGACGCUGUUGCUAGGUAACGACUGACAGCUGUUUAUGCGCAAGAUGGAGGAGGUUCAGAGGAGGUAAUCAUGUAUUGAGGCCAUGUAGUUCAGCGUGAUUCUCCCUUGGCUGCUUUUGUUCCCUUGGUCCACAAGGCUUUCAAGAGUGUGUCCUGGCUGUAAAAUAAACUGGGCUCCUGUCCUGAGAGAAGUUAA